GACGUAGGGCGCGAGCGUUGUCCGGAUUUAUUGGGCGUAAAGAGCUCGUAGGCGGCUCAUUGUGUCAACCGUGAAAACCUGCCGCUCAACGGUAGGCUUGCGGUUGAUACGGGUGGGCUGGAGUUCGGUAGGGGAGACUGGAAUUCCUGGUGUAGCGGUGAAAUGCGCAGAUAUCAGGAGGAACACCGGUGGCGAAGGCGGGUCUCUGGGCCGAUACUGACGCUGAGGAGCGAAAGCGUGGGGAGCGAACAGG
rnacentral:rRNA from 1 species